rnacentral:rRNA from 1 species
AUUGAACGCUGGCGGCAUGCUUUACACAUGCAAGUCGAACGGUAACAGGUCUUCGGAUGCUGACGAGUGGCGAACGGGUGAGUAAUACAUCGGAACGUGCCUAGUAGUGGGGGAUAACUACUCGAAAGAGUAGCUAAUACCGCAUGAGAUCUACGGAUGAAAGCAGGGGACCUUCGGGCCUUGUGCUACUAGAGCGGCUGAUGGCAGAUUAGGUAGUUGGUGGGGUAAAGGCUUACCAAGCCUGCGAUCUGUAGCUGGUCUGAGAGGACGACCAGCCACACUGGGACUGAGACACGGCCCAGACUCCUACGGGAGGCAGCAGUGGGGAAUUUUGGACAAUGGGCGAAAGCCUGAUCCAGCAAUGCCGCGUGCAGGAUGAAGGCCCUCGGGUUGUAAACUGCUUUUGUACGGAACGAAAAGCCUGGGGCUAAUAUCCCCGGGUCAUGACGGUACCGGAAGAAUAAGCACCGGCUAACUACGUG